rnacentral:rRNA from 1 species
GUAGGGAAUAUUGGGCAAUGGUCGGAAGACUGACCCAGCCAUGCCGCGUGCAGGAAGACGGCCCUCUGGGUUGUAAACUGCUUUUAUCUGGGAAGAAAAAGGCCAUGCGUGGCAAAUUGCCGGUACCAGAUGAAUAAGCACCGGCUAACUCCGUGCCAGCAGCCGCGGUAAUACGGAGGGUGCGAGCGUUGUCCGGAUUUAUUGGGUUUAAAGGGUGCGUAGGCGGCUGAUUAAGUCAGCGGUGAAAGACUUCGGCUUAACCGGAGCAGUGCCGUUGAUACUGGUUGGCUUGAGUGUCGGAGGGGUACAUGGAAUUGAUGGUGUAGCGGUGAAAUGCAUAGAUACCAUCAGGAACACCGAUAGCGAAGGCAUUGUACUGGCCGACAACUGACGCUGAUGCACGAAAGUGUGGGGAGCAAACAGGAUUAGAAACCCCUGUAGUCC